AGGAGGUAUCAGGAUAUAUCAGGAGGUAUCAACCAGAGAGGAGGUAUCAGAAGUUAUCAGGAGGUAUCAGAAGUUAUCAGGAGGUAUCAGGAGUUAUCAUGAGGUAUCAGGAGGUAUCAACCAGAGAGGAGGUAUCAGAAGUUAUCAACCAGAGAGGAGGUAUCAGGAGGUAUCAACCAGAGAGGAGGUAUCAGGAGGUAUCAACCAGAGAGGAGGUAUCAGGAGGUAUCAACCAGAGAGGAGGUACGCUGAAUGACGGCCAUUUUGGGCGGGGCACAUGCACUAUGAGAGAGCAAGAGAGAGAGCGAGCGAGCGAGAGAUGGGGAGAGAGAGAGAGAGACACACUUGGAGGGAAAAAAGAGCGAGUUCUAGAUUGUGUCUAGAUACAUAACGAAAUUAAACAAAUUUUGUCCUAGUCUGUUCCGAAACAAAUCUCAAAGGCUGACAAUACUGCCGACCGC
ensembl:lncRNA